rnacentral:rRNA from 1 species
UACGUAGGGACCAAGCGUUGUUCGGAUUUACUGGGCGUAAAGGGCUCGUAGGUGGCCAACUAAGUCAGACGUGAAAUCCCUCAGCUUAACUGGGGAACUGCGUCUGAUACUGGAUGGCUUGAGUUUGGGAGAGGGACGCGGAAUUCCAGGUGUAGCGGUGAAAUGCGUAGAUAUCUGGAGGAACACCCGUGGUGCAGACGGCUUGCUGGACCAUGACUGACGCUGAGGCACGAAAGCGUGGGUAGCAAACAGG